GGGCGUUAAGUUGCAGGGUAUAGACCCGAAACCCGGUGAUCUAGCCAUGGGCAGGUUGAAGGUUGGGUAACACUAACUGGAGGACCGAACCGACUAAUGUUGAAAAAUUAGCGGAUGACCUGUGGCUGGGGGUGAAAGGCCAAUCAAACCGGGAGAUAGCUGGUUCUCCCCGAAAGCUAUUUAGGUAGCGCCUCGUGAAUUCAUCUCCGGGGGUAGAGCACUGUUUCGGCUAGGGGGCCAUCCCGGCUUACCAACCCGAUGCAAACUGCGAAUACCGGAGAAUGUUAUCACGGGAGACACACGGCGGGUGCUAACGUCCGUCGUGAAGAGGGAAACAACCCAGACCGCCAGCUAAGGUCCCAAAGUCAUGGUUAAGUGGGAAACGAUGUGGGAAGGCCCAGACAGCCAGGAUGUUGGCUUAGAAGCAGCCAUCAUUUAAAGAAAGCGUAAUAGCUCACUGGUCGAGUCGGCCUGCGCGGAAGAUGUAACGGGGCUAAACCAUGCACCGAAGCUGCGGCAGCGACGCUGAUGCGUUGUUGGGUAGGGGAGCGUUCUGUAAGCCUGUGAAGGUGGCCUGUGAGGGUUGCUGGAGGUAUCAGAAGUGCGAAUGCUGACAUAAGUAACGAUAAAGCGGGUGAAAAGCCCGCUCGCCGGAAGACCAAGGGUUCCUGUCCAACGUUAAUCGGGGCAGGGUGAGUCGACCCCUAAGGCGAGGCCGAAAGGCGUAGUCGAUGGGAAACGGGUUAAUAUUCCCGUACUUGGUGUUACUGCGAAGGGGGGACGGAGAAGGCUAUGUUGGCCGGGCGACGGUUGUCCCGGUUUAAGCGUGUAGGUGUGUGUUCCAGGUAAAUCCGGUUCACUUUAACACUGAGGCGUGACGACGAGGCACUACGGUGCUGAAGCAACAAAUGCCCUGCUUCCAGGAAAAGCCUCUAAGCAUCAGGUAACAUCAAAUCGUACCCCAAACCGACACAGGUGGUCAGGUAGAGAAUACCAAGGCGCUUGAGAGAACUCGGGUGAAGGAACUAGGCAAAAUGGUGCCGUAACUUCGGGAGAAGGCACGCUGACACGUAGGUGAAGUGAUUUACUCACGGAGCUGAAGUCAGUCGAAGAUACCAGCUGGCUGCAACUGUUUAUUAAAAACACAGCACUGUGCAAACACGAAAGUGGACGUAUACGGUGUGACGCCUGCCCGGUGCCGGAAGGUUAAUUGAUGGGG
rnacentral:rRNA from 1 species